UUAGUUUUUUUCCCUUGAUUUUACCAGAUUGAAAACCUGAAAAUUGAAAAUAAUCAAAAGGAAGAUGGAUGAUCACAAGCCAUACAACCAAGCUAAACUGCUUGAAUUUGUGCACCAGGAGAGGCAUAAAGUUUUUCAAAAGCAGACCAUGCCACAUGAAGUUUGGAGGUGUGUAGUGAUGAACUCUGAAGCUACAUGAAGUUUGGAGGUGUGUAGUGAUGAACUCUGAAGCUACAUGAAGUUUGGGGGUGUGUAGUGAUGAACUCUGAAGCUACAUGAAGUUUGGAGGUGUGUAGUGAUGAACUCUGAAGCUACAUGAAGUUUGGAGGUGUGUAGUGAUGAACUCUGAAGCUACAUGAAGUUUGGAGGUGUGUAGUGAUGAUGAACUCUGAAGCUACAUGAAGUUUGGAGGUUUGUAGUGAUGAACUAAUCUGAAGCUACAUGAAGUUUGGGGGUGUGUAGUGAUGAACUCUGAAGCUACAUGAAGUUUGGAGGUGUGUAGUGAUGAACUCUGAAGCUACAUGAAGUUUGGAGGUGUGUAGUGAUGAACUCUGAAGCUACAUGAAGUUUGGGGGUGUGUAGUAAUGAACUCUGAAGCUACAUGAAGUUUGGAGGUUUGUAGUGAUGAACUCUGAAGCUACAUGAAGUUUGGAGGUGUGUAGUGAUGAACUCUGAAGCUACAUGAAGUUUGGAGGUGUGUAGUGAUGAACUCUGAAGCUACAUGAAGUUUGGAGGAGUGUAGUGAUGAUGAACUCUGAAGCUACAUGAAGUUUGGAGGUUUGUAGUGAUGAACUCUGAAGCUACAUGAAGUUUGGAGGUGUGUACUGAUUGGUGUAGUGACUCUGCAGGAAGUUGGUGAACUCUGUGCACUAUGCUCCUCAGCAUCCGCUGACCCCGCUCUGUUAUUUUACACUGACCGAGCACAGAGUCGCUGUCAUUCCCAGUCUCUUCCACUGUGUUAUAAUAUCACUGACAGUUGGCUGUGGAAUAUUUAGUAGUGAGUAGUGAAACUUCACGACUGGACUUGUUGCACAGGUGCUGCAUCCUAUCAAGGUACCACAGUGCUG